ACGUCACUCCCAUAAGCCAACCACCUGUUGGAUCUCAAGUGUGUACCAGCCGAGGGACAGUCUUCGCUUGCUCAGAGCUGUUUAUAUUAGAGAGGUACACUCUCUUCUGGGAUAAAGCCUUGCCUCACGAAGUGGCAUGAGGAAGUGCCUGCACUCCACAGCCCGGGAGAGCUCAGUGAAAAUGUGUGUUCACCACGGCAGGCUGUCCUGUCCCGACCCCGAGACACUGAAGCCUCUGUGUGCAUCGUGCUCAUGGGUUCCUUCCUAGCCACUCUCGGGGACAGGAAUGCUUGGUGAUAAUUACACCAUGACAGGAACAUAAUGUAUAACCCUCUACACUCCUUCAAACACAAGAGAAAAAGGUGAGACUGGUUUCAAACUACUCAAAUGAGGUAAUCAUUCCAUCCAGCUGCUAAGUCUUAUUCAUAUUUUUUUUUUUUUUUUUACAAGAGACAGAGGUACAUUGUCUCAGAAAAGAGCAGGCAGACACAUCCAGCAGGCCAGAGGAAUGGUAUGCA